UACUCCUACCCGGAGGCAGCAGUAGGGAAUCUUCCGCAAUGGACGAAAGUCUGACGGAGCAACGCCGCGUGAGUGAUGAAGGUUUUCGGAUCGUAAAGCUCUGUUGUUAGGGAAGAACAAGUGCAAGAGUAACUGCUUGCACCUUGACGGUACCUAACCAGAAAGCCACGGCUAACUACGUGCCAGCAGCCGCGGUAAUACGUAGGUGGCAAGCGUUGUCCGGAAUUAUUGGGCGUAAAGGGCUCGCAGGCGGUUUCUUAAGUCUGAUGUGAAAGCCCCCGGCUCAACCGGGGAGGGUCAUUGGAAACUGGGAAACUUGAGUGCAGAAGAGGAGAGUGGAAUUCCACGUGUAGCGGUGAAAUGCGUAGAGAUGUGGAGGAACACCAGUGGCGAAGGCGACUCUCUGGUCUGUAACUGACGCUGAGGAGCGAAAGCC
rnacentral:rRNA from 1 species